UACGGAGGGGGCUAGCGUUGUUCGGAAUUACUGGGCGUAAAGCGCACGUAGGCGGCUUUGUAAGUUAGAGGUGAAAGCCCGGAGCUCAACUCCGGAAUUGCCUUUGAGACUGCAUCGCUCGAAUCAUGGAGAGGUGAGUGGAAUUCCGAGUGUAGAGGUGAAAUUCGUAGAUAUUCGGAAGAACACCAGUGGCGAAGGCGACUCACUGGACAUGUAUUGACGCUGAGGUGCGAAAGCGUGGGGAGCAAACAGG
rnacentral:rRNA from 1 species